ACGGAGGAUGCGAGCGUUAUCCGGAUUCAUUGGGUUUAAAGGGUGCGUAGGCGGUUUAUUAAGUCAGUGGUGAAAUCCUGCGGCUCAACCGUAGAACUGCCAUUGAUACUGAUAAACUUGAAUAUAGUUGAGGUAGGCGGAAUGAGUAGUGUAGCGGUGAAAUGCUUAGAUAUUACUCAGAACACCGAUUGCGAAGGCAGCUUGCUAAGCUAUUAUUGACGCUGAGGCACGAAAGCGUGGGGAUCAAACAG
rnacentral:rRNA from 1 species